rnacentral:lncRNA from 1 species
UACACAGCACACCAAAAGCUUCAGCAGCAGCAACAACAGCAGCUGUUCCAAUUCCUUUUUCUCACAUUUAAUCCAUUCCAAAUCCAUUCAAACACCUUUAGAAUUAUCCAAAGAAGCUCCCCAAGCUACCAAAUUAAUUUGGUAACAUUUAAUUCUCAAAUUUGCAUCAAUUUGCUCAUUUGGACCAAAUCGACUAAAAAUUUCAGCAUAAGAGUAAUAACAGCAAUUUGAGUUCUCGGCCACUUCUAUUCCAUUCUAGCCCACUCACGCACUUCCAAAAC